rnacentral:rRNA from 1 species
GGAGGAUCCGAGCGUNAUCCGGACUCANNGGGUNUAAAGGGAGCGUAGGUGGACNAUUAAGNCAGCNGUGAAAGNUUGCGGCCCAAUCGUAAAANNGCAGUNGAUACUGGUCGUCUNGAGUGCAGUAGAGGUAGGCGGAAUNCGUGGUGUAGCGGUGAAAUGCUUAGAUAUCACGAAGAACUCCGAUNGCGAAGGCAGCCCCCUGGGGCAAAACUGACGCNCAUGCACGAAAGCGUGGGGAGCAAACAGGAUUAGAUACCCUGGUAGUCCACGCCCUAAACGAUGUCUACUGGUUGUUGGAGGGUAAAACCUUCAGUAACGAAGCUAACGCGUGAAGUAGACAGCCUGGGGAGUACGGUCGCAAGAUUAAAACUCAAA